rnacentral:rRNA from 1 species
UUGAUCCUGGCUCAGGACGAACGCUGGCGGCGUGCUUAACACAUGCAAGUCGAACGGUGAACCUGCUUCGGUGGGGGAUCAGUGGCGAACGGGUGAGUAACACGUGGGCAACCUGCCCUCAGCUCUGGGAUAACUCCAAGAAAUUGGGGCUAAUACCGGAUAUGACUGCUGACCGCAUGGUCUGGUGGUGGAAAGAUUUAUCGGCUGGGGAUGGGCCCGCGGCCUAUCAGCUUGUUGGUGGGGUAGUGGCCUACCAAGGCGACGACGGGUAGCCGGCCUGAGAGGGUGACCGGCCACACUGGGACUGAGACACGGCCCAGACUCCUACGGGAGGCAGCAGUGGGGAAUAUUGCGCAAUGGGCGAAAGCCUGACGCAGCGACGCCGCGUGGGGGAUGACGGCCUUCGGGUUGUAAACCUCUUUCAGCAGGGACGAAGCGAAAGUGACGGUACCUGCAGAAGAAGCACCGGCCAACUACGUGCCAGCAGCCGCGGUAAUACGUAGGGUGCAAGCGUUGUCCGGAAUUAUUGGGCGUAAAGAGCUCGUAGGCGGUUCGUCGCGUCGGCUGUGAAAUCCCGAGGCUCAACCUCGGGCCUGCAGUCGAUACGGGCGGACUUGAGUUCGGCAGGGGAGACUGGAAUUCCUGGUGUAGCGGUGAAAUGCGCAGAUAUCAGGAGGAACACCGGUGGCGAAGGCGGGUCUCUGGGCCGAAACUGACGCUGAGGAGCGAAAGCGUGGGGAGCGAACAGGAUUAGAUACCCUGGUAGUCCACGCCGUAAA